CUCGGCAACGGAUAUCUCGGCUCUCGCAUCGAUGAAGAACGUAGCGAAAUGCGAUACUUGGAGUGAAUUGCAGAAUCCCGUGAACCAUCGAGUCUUUGAACGCAAGUUGCGCCCGAAGCCAUUAGGCUGAGGGCACGUCUGCCUGGGCGUCACGC
rnacentral:rRNA from 1 species